CAAAAGCAGCCCAGAAUCAGGAAGUAGGAUGCCGUGACAGACAUGAGUAGGCAGAAGGAAAUGGGCACCACCACCACACAAUGUCACUAUGUCUGCUGCUGCUCCUGUCCAUGGUAACACAAGGACGAGAGGGAGGAGAGGCCACAGGGAAAUGACCCCAUCGUCGAUCAUGUUGCUGCUGGCUCUGACAGCCUGCCUGGCUGGGACUGUGUUCUGCCAGGGUGAUGAGGACACAAGUAUUGUUGAAGAAACGCAAACAGAAAAUGAUGCCGGGUUCUCAGUGAUCCCAACUGUAAGUGAUGCUACCCCUACACCAGACUCAUACCUAUCAUCUGAGAGUCCUUCAGAGGGAUAUGAGACUGAAGCUGAAUCUGGUUCUGGAUUCAGUCCAGGUGUCAAUAUAGAAGGGGAGGAUCAUCCUAAAUCCUCUGAAGCUCCACUGGAGGACAGUCUGAGUCUCACCUUCGUCCUGGUUCCUGUUGUGCUGGUGGUCGUGAUAAUCGCCAUGGUAGUGGGUGUAGUCAUAAUCAAGCGCAGAUGGAAUCGGAAAGGAAAGAGCAAUUCUGAUAACGUAGAAGAGGAUAAAUAUUUGCAUGGUAGCGAUGACACAGAAAAAGUUCCAAUCCAAUCAUGUGUCCAUGAUGACUUCAGCGCAUUGACAGAAAACUAUGGUCAAUGACGAGAGCGCCCCCCUGUGGGAAUCAGCAAUACUACCACUCAAAUGGCCUUGAGUAGAAAAUCAUGUCAAACUCUAUUGGAGGGAAGGACAGUGCUUAUUCAAAUACGAACAGUUUUGGGUGGAAAUCAGUGAAAAACAGCAUAUUCCUAAGGAGUUUAAUUUGAGACCGUGUGAGAAACCCCUCAACUGUUUUGGAUUGUCUUUAUACCUCAACAGUGGAUGUUUGUAUCCCCCCCCCCCUCUACACUCCCUUCAUUUUAGUCCCUUUAAUUUGUCAUUUUCGAAUGUCAAAACAGUAAUAUGACGGGCUGACGAUGUUGGCUGUUUUCCAGGCCCAUGUUUGAGGAUGAUGUCCCCUCUGUGUUGGAGCUGGAGAUGGAAGACCUGGAACAGUGGAUGAAUAAAGACGGCGAGUCAUCUUAAAACUACAAAAGAAAAUGUGGCGUUUGAAUGGACUCUGGACAAGGGAUCUAACAUGAGAUCAUGGCUAGUCCCUAAAGAGUCACGGAGUCAGUCAAUUCGCUCCCUCAACCGUCCUCUUGCUGUACUGCCGGUGACAAAGGACAUUUCCCCAUCGCAGGGAAGGACAUUCUGUUACCCAGCCGCACUGUAGGCUUCUUCUAUUCAUGUCAAUGUCAAAGCAACGUCAUCAACCGACCACAUUGACAACAAGAAAGCAACACCUCCACCCAUGGUGACUGCAAAAAACAGGAAAUGCUGAAUUUGUUUUCCAUUUCAGCAUAAACAAAAGACAAGAAACAAUAAAUGCACAAGUUAAAUGUUUUUAGAACGUAACAUCUUAAAAUAUGCGUCAAAUGUACUGUGGUAUAGACUCUAUGGAGAAACAGUGUGUGGCAAUAGUCCUUUCACUACACGGAUCCGGAUUGUGGUCGGCCUAAUACUGAAUGCUUUUUGCAACGCCAUCAACUCAGUACAGUGCCUUUUUAGUCAUUGUUUCAAGUUCAUAUACACUUUUUAUGUGAUUGUUUUACUGUCUUUUGUAUUCAGCUGUCAUGCAGCGAGAGGGGGAAUCAGUGAGAGAGGAAGGAGUAAAACACAGGAGGUUGGUGGCACCUUUAUUGAGGAGGACAGGCUCGGGGUAAUGGCUGGAAUGGUAUCAAAUGCGUCAGACACUUGGUUUCCAUGCGUUUGAUGCCAUUCCAUUCGCUCCGUUCCAGCCAUUAUUAUGAGCUGUCCUCCCUUCAGCAGCCUCCUGUGGAGUAAAACGUGUAAAACUAUUGCUGAAAGCGGGUGUCGGUAUCCAUGUUCUGACACCCAGACCACAAUAUUAGAACUUGACCUCCAAAGAUCCUACAGUCCCUCCCCUUUACAACAGAAACACAUAUUCCAUGCCCACAGUAAAGCCAGACCAGAUGGUAUAUAGCCUUAUUCCAACGGCCAGCUAACCCAGUCCCAUGAUAGAUAUGGUGGCUCAACAAAUGUUUAUGCUAAAGACUAGCUAGUGUCUCCUCCUCUCCUCUGCUCUGUCCCUUCUGGUUGUAGUACACAGACUGCAUGUGGAUCUAUCUCUCUGUCUCUCUCUCUCUCUCUCUCUCGGUCUCUCUCUCUCACAAACUCCGACUCUAAUUACCAAACCCUGUGUAUUGUUUCAUGCAUGAGAUAACUGAGAACUGCUGGUACACUGCUUUGCUUUGGUUCAUACCCAUCACGCAAUGCUAAAGCUGUUUAGAAUUCAAGAGGGAUUCGGGAAGGUAAUUUCUGAGAUAGUGCAAAUUUCCGUUUGGUUGUUAUAUAUAGUGACUGUCUUGUGAUGUUUUGUUUUCCAUGAUUUUCUUUGAGAAACAGUAUUUCACAAUUACUGUCAUUACAUCCUAAGCAUAUAAUUCCUGUUGAUGGUACACUGUCUUUCAUUGGUUGAAUAUGUUUUUCCUCCAAUGAUAGUGGUGUUGUUGCUAUGCAAUCUGAAUCUACAAAUUCUCGUCACAUCGAUGUAUAAAUGUUAUGCUCAGCUCUACGUGACAGUCAGUAUUUUGCAGUAACUUUCAUUGUAAAUAUGUGGAAGAUAUUUUUUUAACUCGCAUGUAUAUUUUUGAACUGUGUAUAUUGUACUUGAUUUGAUACAAAUAUUGACAUUUGCUUAUGGUCAUAGGAGUGAAUGUGGUCCCUCAAUCUCUGUUAGGUCCUCAUACUUGUCAGUAAUCCAAGUGUUACAGCAGUAGUUAUAGUCAUUUCAAUAAGGAACCAACUGUCCUGCCAAUAUAUUUGUAAAUCAUCAAUAAAUCUGUGACGUGCUA